UUAAGUUCUCAUGUCACAGAGAGUCUGAACUGUUUUCAUGCACUCACACUGAAAACUGCAUCAGGAUGAUGUUGUCAAUAACUCUGAUUGUCGUGUUGGGUUUUCUGAGUCAGGAGUCUUCUGCAAACAAGUUUCUGACUCAGGCUGACAAAUCCAAGUCUGUUAGUGUUGGAGGGACCGUGAGCAUCAGCGCCACAGGGAGUUCAGAUAUUGCUGCUGAUCUCAGUUGGUACCUUCAGAAACCUGGACAGGCUCCCAAACUCGUUAUAUACAAAGCAUCAACUCUCUUCUCAGGGACUGCGUCUCGAUUCAGAGGCAGUAGAUCUGGUUCUCACUACACUUUAACCAUCACAGGUGUUCAGACUGACGAUGCUGGAGAUUACUACUGUCUCGGCGAACAUGAUGGAGGAGUGUUCACACAGUGAUUUAGAGCCGUACAAAAACCUCCUUCAGUUUGACUGAAGUGAAACCGGCCUGCUGCAGGUGCAGAGGGUUGGUGAAGAGACUGUGAUGAGGAGAACUGGUCCAGUGAACACAACACAAGAGUCAUCAAGCAGAACCACAAUGAAUCUAAAUAAAACUGGAACAAACUCACAGACGCUCUUCCAUCUACAGUUUAA